GGGAUUUUAAGUUAAAUAAACUAUAAACCUUCAAAGUUUAAAAUAGAGUAGUUAGUACCUAAGUCUCG
rnacentral:tRNA from 1 species